rnacentral:tRNA from 1 species
AGUUUAAUAGUUUAAAAAAAACAAUGAUUUUGUAAAUCAAAAAUAGCCUUUCUCUUUAAACUA